CAACGGGUCAGCUAAAUUUAAGCUAUUGGGCUCAUAACUCAAAAAUGGACUUGAUUCCCCCAUUGA
rnacentral:tRNA from 1 species